rnacentral:rRNA from 1 species
AGAGUUUGAUCCUGGCUCAGGACGAACGCUGGCGGCGUGCUUAACACAUGCAAGUCGAGCGGAAAGGCCUCUUCGGGGGUACUCGAGCGGCGAACGGGUGAGUAACACGUGAGUAACCUGCCCUGGACUUUGGGAUAACCCUCGGAAACGGGGGCUAAUACCGGAUAUGACAUGCGCUCGCAUGGGUGUGUGUGGAAAGUUUUUCGGUCUGGGAUGGGCUCGCGGCCUAUCAGCUUGUUGGUGGGGUGAUGGCCUACCAAGGCGACGACGGGUAGCCGGCCUGAGAGGGCGACCGGCCACACUGGGACUGAGACACGGCCCAGACUCCUACGGGAGGCAGCAGUGGGGAAUAUUGCACAAUGGGCGGAAGCCUGAUGCAGCGACGCCGCGUGAGGGAUGACGGCCUUCGGGUCGUAAACCUCUUUCAGCAGGGACGAAGCGGAAGUGACGGUACCUGCAGAAGAAGCGCCGGCCAACUACGUGCCAGCAGCCGCGGUAAGACGUAGGGCGCGAGCGUUGUCCGGAUUUAUUGGGCGUAAAGAGCUCGUAGGCGGCUUGUCGCGUCGACUGUGAAAACCCGCGGCUCAACCGCGGGCCUGCAGCCGAUACGGGCAGGCUAGAGUUCGGUAGGGGAGACUGGAAUUCCUGGUGUAGCGGUGAAAUGCGCAGAUAUCAGGAGGAACACCGGUGGCGAAGGCGGGUCUCUGGGCCGAUACUGACGCUGAGGAGCGAAAGCGUGGGGAGCGAACAGGAUUAGAUACCCUAGUAGUCC